rnacentral:rRNA from 1 species
UACGUAGGGGGCAAGCGUUGUCCGGAAUCAUUGGGCGUAAAGAGCUCGUAGGCGGUGCGUCACGUCGGCCGUGAAAACCUGCAGCUUAACUGUGGGCGUGCGGUCGAUACGGGCAUCACUGGAGUUCGGCAGGGGAGACUGGAAUUCCUGGUGUAGCGGUGAAAUGCGCAGAUAUCAGGAGGAACACCGGUGGCGAAGGCGGCUUCCUGGACCGGAACUGACGCUGAGGCGCGAAAGCCAGGGGAGCAAACGGG